rnacentral:snoRNA from 13 species
UAUGCCCCUAGAGGCGUACAGAUGGGGCUGCUGUGCCUCAUUUGUGUCAUAUGGUGGCAUAGAGCAAAAGGCUAUGUCUACGCUCGGUGUUCUCAGUCCAUGAACACUCAGAAUGAUUAGUAGCCUGACAAUG